UACGUAGGGGGCAAGCGUUGUCCGGAAUCAUUGGGCGUAAAGAGCGUGUAGGCGGCCAGAUAGGUCUGCUGUGAAAACUCGAGGCUCAACCUCGAGAUGUCGGCGGAAACCAUUUGGCUAGAGUCCGGAAGAGGAAAGUGGAAUUCCUGGUGUAGCGGUGAAAUGCGCAGAUAUCAGGAAGAACACCCGUGGCGAAGGCGGCUCUCUGGACCACUACUGACGCUGAGGCGCGAAAGCUAGGGGGAGCAAACAGG
rnacentral:rRNA from 1 species